GCAGCUGGAACUUGUACGAUUUGAGAGAGACUUGUUGAAUAUCUCGAGUGGUGGAACCGUAAAAAAAUGUAAAUGAACAAUAGGAAGCAAGCUGCGAACGAGAAUGCUCGUAAUGAAAAUAAGAAAGUCGUGUCUUCACCUACACGGCUACACCUGUUGAAAAGCCUGAAGCUCCUGAGACAUGCACUAGUAGUCCAACAUGAGAUUAGUCGGAGAGAAGUGAAUCAAAAGAUUCUGAUGAUUUAAUCUUGUAUAAGGGUCUUGCUCCACGUUGGCUGUGAAGUUGAUGAUCUUCAGGUUUGGCUACACAUUGUCUAUUUGAAUUUUAGUGCUUGGUUUGGUUAAUUUCUCCGUUUGAUAUUAUGGAUUUUUUGUGGAUGACUUGAUGGUUGGCAAAAUAAAGAACAAGGAAGGAUAAUUCAGAUAGAUGAGCAGAAUAUACAAGAACAGGUAGUGGAAAUCAAUUCUUCUUCAUCUUUAGGAGCUGUUAAGAAAGAGGUGGGACAUGUUGAGGACGAAUGCUCACGAAAGAGCAUUGAUUUUAAGAUAAAAACUAUUGAGGAAACAAGAUUGAAGACUGUGAUAUAUGUUGAUGUUUUUGUACACAUGCUUACAGAGAUUAUG